AUAUAUUUGUAUUUUGAAUCUGAGCUCACUCAUAUUCAGAGCCUGGAGCUGCAGAGAAAGAGUGGUCUAGUGGUUACACCAAGGAAAAGGAAGUUAUUUACUGUGUUGUAACUGGAGUUGGAGAUGCAUGGUUGCUAUGUUCAUUCCACCGUGGAUACGCAUGUGCUCCAUGGGCCUGGGACUGGAGAAUUCUUGCAAUCAGUGUCCAUUGAUCUGAACCUGCAGCCCUGCUCUCCUUGUGCUCCGUAAUGAGGUUGUAAAGGGUGGUGCAGACUGAUCGCCUGCUCUAGUUCCUUCUCUACAGCGAAUCCAGUCAUAAUCCAAAGCAGAUAGGAAGGCGGUACGUAGUGGAAUGCACAUAAGGAUUAUGCCUCUUGGAGAAUUCCGAUUACAACAAGGAGGGGCUGCACACCAUCCUCGGCAGCAACCCCACUUCCACUGCCAAGAGCCCCAUGGAUACUUUGGCAGGACUGGAGGCAGCCGAUUCAACCCCAAGGACGAAGUGGUGGAUAAGAAGGUAGAGUUGGAAAAGGAUGCGAGACAGGCAACAGGUUUGUCUAGUGGCGUGGCAGCCAGGACCUCUUUUUGACUCCAGAGUGGUUUAGCCAGUUCUGGCUCUGGCAUCCCUGAAGCUGGAGAGGAGAGCUCCGGUGUGCCCUUGAGGGCCAGUUCCACACCAGCAGAACGCCUCCAUCAGAUAAAGUAGUGAACGAGGAGGAGUAAGGAGGACAUAUUUUGUAAAGAGCUGCAACCAUCAGAUCAGGCCAAUAGUAAGCAUGGAGAUACACAAUCAAAAUACUAGAAAUGAACAGCCAGCGAAUGAUACAGAGCCAGGAGCAGAUAAUAAAGUUCAUGGAGGACCAAACAGAGAUGCUGAGGUCCCUGAUUGUGCUGCAGGGGGAACACAUGUGUGCUCGACUCCCCCUGUAGCCCAUACAGAACUGCCUUCAUUGCUCUCCCAAAACUUCCCAUACACAUUCCUGGCCUAUCACAGUAACCCUUGUACUCCACCGCAAGGACAUUUUCCAUAAUGACGGCUGGACUUACACACAGCUAUGAGAUCCUCACUUCAGAGAGUGCUGCUCACUGUCAUGUCCCUUGUAAGAAAUGUUAAUCUGUGUAUUGCUGUUUAAUAAAAAUUUAGUCUUACAAAGACAGUGAUUCUUUAUUUGUGACCUACACAGGAUGGUUGCAACAGAAAUUCAUACACAGUGGAAACUAGUACAUUUGCAGACUAAAUUAAUGCUCAGGCAGGAAUCAUUACAGGAGUCAUUCAAUGUGGCAAGUAAACAAUACCUGGCACAACUCAUUACAGAAAGACAUUACUGGGGCUCACUGUCAAAAUGCUGCUUCAAAGUCUCCCAAAUUUGAAUAGCUGCCUGUUGAGCCCCUCUUAUAGCCCGGUUGUCUGGCUGCUCAAAAUCAGCUGCCAGGCGAUCCACCUCUACCCUCCACCCCUGGGGAAACUUUUCCUCCUUGGCUUUAUAAAUGUUAUGCAGACCACAGCAGGCUGCGAUGACCACAGGAAUAUUUUCCUCACUGAGGUAUAACCUGCCAAAAAAGAAGCGCCAGCGACCCUUUAAUCUGCCAAACA